AUACGUAGGUGGCAAGCGUUAUCCGGAUUUAUUGGGCGUAAAGGGUGCGCAGGCGGUCUGUUUAGUCUGAGGUGAAAGCGUUGAGCUUAACUCAAUUAAGCCUCGGAUACUGGCAGACUAGAGUGCAGAAGAGGGUUAUGGAAUUCCAUGUGUAGCGGUAAAAUGCGUAGAUAUAUGGAGGAACACCGGCGGCGAAGGCGGUAACCUGGUCUGUUACUGACGCUCAGGCACGAAAGCGUGGGGAGCAAAUAGGAUUAGAUACCCUAGUAGUCCACGCCCUAAACGAUGAUUACUAAAUGUUGGGGAAACUCAGUGUUGUAGCUAACGCAAUAAGUAAUCCGCCUGGGGAGUAUGCACGCAAGUGUGAAACUUAAAGGAAUUGACGGGG
rnacentral:rRNA from 1 species